rnacentral:rRNA from 1 species
CUGGAUGGUAGUGUAUUGGACAACCAUGGCAUUCACGGGCUAUCGGGGGAUUAGGGUUCGAUUCCGGAGAGGGAGCCUGAGAAACGGCUACCACUUCUACGGAAGGCAGCAGGCGCGAAAAUUAUCCAAUCCUGAUUCAGGGAGGUAGUGAAAGAAAUAAUGAACUAGGAUUUAUCCUGGGGUCAGAAUGGGCUUGAUUUGCAAACUUUAUUUAGCGAGGAACAAUUGGAGGGCAAGUCUGGUGCCAGCAGCCGCGGUAAUUCCAGCUCCAAUAGUGUAUAUUAAUGUUCCUGCAGUUAUUCGAUGCUCGUAGUUGGAUUUCUGGAGGCUGAGACAGGAAGGCAGCCAAGGUUGUUGCCAGUCUCUUCCUUCAUCCACCUGUUAACGUUGUCCGG